GAGGGGUCAGAGAGCUGGGGUCUCAUUUGCAUGGAUGGGCCCUCCCUCUCUCAGAGGGUGAAGAGGGGAAGGGAGAGAUUAGGGGAGGCUCUGCUCAGCUGUGGGAGCACAGAAGGCAGGCUCGGUGAUGACCUCCACCAUGGCCUGGUCCCCUCUCCUCCUCAGCCUCCUCGUUCACUGCACAGGGUCCUGGGCCCAGUCUCUGCUGACUCAGCCGCCCUCCGUGUCUGGGACCCUGGGCCAGAGGGUCACCAUCUCCUGCACUGGAAGCAGCUCCAACAUUGGGUGUGGUAAUUAUGUGAGCUGGAUCCAAUAGCUCCCAGGAAAGGCCCCUAAAACUGUCAUCUAUGGUACUAGCAGUUGACCCUCGGGGGUCCCUGACAGGUUCUCUGGCUCCAGGUCUGGCAAUUCUGCCACCCUGACCAUCACUGGGCUCCAGGCUGAGGACGAGGCUGAAUAGUACUGCUCAGCGUGGGACAGCAGUGUCAAAUUGUGUUC